rnacentral:rRNA from 1 species
UACGUAGGGGGCAAGCGUUGUCCGGAAUCACUGGGCUUAAAGCGUGUGUAGGCGGAUCGUUAAGUGCCUUGUGAAAUCCCACGGCUUAACCGUGGAACUGCUUGGCAUACUGGCGGUCUUGAGCAACCUAGGGGCGAGCGGAACAAAUGGUGGAGCGGUGAAAUGCGUAGAUAUCAUUUGGAACGCCAAUGGUGAAAACAGCUCGCUGGGGGUUUGCUGACGCUGAGACACGAAAGCCAGGGGAGCAAACGGG